UACGGAGGCAGCAGUGGGGAAUUUUGCGCAAUGGGGGAAACCCUGACGCAGCAACGCCGCGUGCGGGAUGAAGGCCUUCGGGUUGUAAACCGCUUUCAGUAGGGAAGAAAAUGACGGUACCCACAGAAGAAGCUCCGGCUAACUACGUGCCAGCAGCCGCGGUAAU
rnacentral:rRNA from 1 species